rnacentral:rRNA from 1 species
UUGACCUCGGAUCAGGUAGGGAUACCCGCUGAACUUAAGCAUAUCAAUAAGCGGAGGAAAAGAAACCAACCGGGAUUGCCUCAGUAACGGCGAGUGAAGCGGCAAGAGCUCAAAUUUGAAAUCUGGCCCCUCCGGGGUCCGAGUUGUAAUUUGUAGAGGAUGCUUCGGGUGCGGCCCCCGUCUAAGUGCUCUGGAACGGGCCAUCGGAGAGGGUGAGAAUCCCGUCUGGGACGGGGUGUCCGCGUCCAUGUGAAGCUCCUUCGACGAGUCGAGUUGUUUGGGAAUGCAGCUCUAAAUGGGUGGUAAAUUUCAUCUAAAGCUAAAUACUGGCCGGAGACCGAUAGCGCACAAGUAGAGUGAUCGAAAGAUGAAAAGCACUUUGAAAAGAGAGUUAAACAGCACGUGAAAUUGUUGAAAGGGAAGCGCUUGCGACCAGACUCGCUUCCGGGGUUCAGCCGGCUUUCGGGCCGGUGUACUUCCCCGGGGGCGGGCCAGCGUCGGUUUGGGCGGCCGGUCAAAGGCCCCUGGAAUGUAACGCCUCUCGGGGCGCCUUAUAGCCAGGGGUGUCAUGCGGCCAGCCUGGACCGAGGAACGCGCUUCGGCACGGACGCUGGCAUAAUGGUCGUAAACGACCCGUCUUGAAACACGGACCAAGGAGUCUAACAUCUACGCGAGUGUUCGGGUGUCAAACCCGUGCGCGCAGUGAAAGCGAACGGAGGUGGGAGCCCCCUCGCGGGGCGCACCAUCGACCGAUCCUGAUGUCUUCGGAUGGAUUUGAGUAAGAGCGUAGCUGUGGGGACCCGAAAGAUGGUGAACUAUGCCUGAAUAGGGCGAAGCCAGAGGAAACUCUGGUGGAGGCUCGCAGCGGUUCUGACGUGCAAAUCGAUCGUCAAAUUUGGGGUAUAGGGGCGAAAGACUAAUCGA